UUCACUGAUUGUCAGGCUUGUGCUGACAGCUCUUAGGUGGACUACCUGAUGUCAGGGAGGCACCAUUGGCUAGUGUAGAGGUGGCUAUACGGAGGCCCGUGAGCCACAUGUGGCUUUUUUACAGUUAAAGUGUGGCUCGUGAAGCCCCCCCACCCACCUUCAGUCCCCCCAUUCUCUGCCUACCAGACUGGGGCAGCGGGAGCUCAGGGCUUCUGCCUGUGGCAGAGUGGUGGGGCUAGGAGCUUUUGCCCUGCUAGGGGGCAGGGGGGUCUUGGGGCUUCAUCCUUGCAGAAGGAACCUGCUGGGGCUGAAGCACCUGCAGGCACGCCCAGCUCUCGAACUUCAGAAGACUAUCGUAUGUGGCUCGGAGAGUCAGUAAAUUUGGCCAUCCCAAUCUAGUCGUUAGCAGGAGACUGGGACUCUGGGAAAUCUACCAAGUUCCAUAGUACUUAUAAGUGGUGUCAUAGCACUUAGCGGAUAAAUGAUGUUGCAUUGGGAAGUCUCUUAUGGACUUCUUGGAUCUCCUGCUCUUCCUCUUUCCUUGAAAUAAGAGUCUUUGGGUGGGCCAUAUUUCUCCACCUGCCCCAUCAAUCUGGUCUUGCAGGGAAAUGCUCUGUCACAGAGGAGGGUGUUACAGUAUGCACUCAAAGUACUUCAACUCCACAUUAGUCUGAUCCUCUCAGUAAACUCAAUCCAUAGCCAGACCCCCUUGACAGAACACUAGCUCUAGCUUUUUACUCCUAGGGGAAUUCAUCACCAAAAAAUUUAAAAUUCUGCUCACAAUAUUUUAAAAUUCUGCAUAUUUUAUUUGUCAAAAUAACACAAUGUAAUCACGCCAGUUUCAGUUAUUUUAGUAAUUUAUUUCAAAAUGCUUGUCAGCAAGUAUGUCUAACAAUACACAGAAAGGAGGAGUCAUCCGGUGGCACCUUAAAGACUAACAGAUUUAUUUGGGCAUAAGCUUUUGUGGGUAAAAAAACCCACUUCUUCAGAUGCAUGGAGUGGAAAUUACAAAUACAAGCAUAAAUAUAUAUUGGCAUAUGAGGAGAAGGGAGUUACCUUACAAGUGGAGAACCAAUGCUGAAGGCCAAUUUAGUCAGGGUGGAUGUUGUCCACUCCCAAUAAUUGAUGAGGAGGUGUCAGUACCAAGAGAGGGAAAAUUGCUUUUGUAGUGAGCCAGCCACUUCCAGUCCCUAUUCAAGCCCAAAUUGAUGGUGUUAAGUUUGCAAAUGAAUUGUAGCUCAGCAGUUUCUCUUUGAAGUCUGUUUUUGAAGUUUUUUUGUUGAAGAAUGGCUACUUUUAAAUCUGUUGUUGAGUGUCCAGGGAGACUGAAGUGUUCUUCUACUGGCUUUUGUAUGUUACCAUUCCUGAGAUCUGAUUUGUGUCCAUUUACUCUUUUACAUAGAGACUGUCCGGUUUGGCCAAUGUACAUGGCAGAGGGGCAUUGCUGGCACAUGAUGGCAUAUAUCACAUUAGUAGAUGUGCAGGUGAAUGAGCUUCUGAUGGCGUGGCUGGGUCCUAUAAUGGUGUCACUAGAGUAGAUAUGGGGAUAGAGAAGGCAACGCAGGGAUUGGUUCCUAGGUUAGUGUUUCUGUGGUGUGGUGUGUAGUUGCUGGUGAGUAUUUGCUUCAGGUUGGGGGGCUGUCUGUAAGUGAGGAUUGGUCUGCCUCCCAAGGCCUGUGAGAGUGACGGAUCGUUUGCAAACUUAUCACCAUCAAUUUGGGCUUGAAUAGGGACUGGGAGUGGCUGGCUCACUACAAAAGCCAUUUUUCCUCUCUAGGUACUGACACCUCCUCAUCAAUUAUUGGGAGUGGACAACUUCCACCCUGACUAAAUUGGCCUUCAACAUUGGUUCUCCACUUGUAAAGUAACUCCCUUCUCUUCAUAUGCCAAUAUAUGUUUAUGCCUGUAUUUGUAAUUUCCACUCCAUACAUCGGAAGAAGUGGGUUUUUUUACCCACGAAAGCUUAUGCCCAAAUAAAUCUGUUAGUCUUUAAGGUGCCACCGGACUCCUCAUUGUUUUUGUGGUUACAGACAAACAUGGCUACCCCUCUGUAUUCUAACAGUACAGACGACAAAGAUGCAGGAAAUGUUUUUGAUGGGUUAAAUAAGCUGUUAAUGCUCUAGGAAGACAUCUGGAGUCGUGGAUAGUUUUCUGAAAACAUCUGCUUGAUAUGCAGCAGCAGUCAAAAAAGCUAACAAUGUUAGGAACCAUUAGGAGAGGGAUAGAUAGUAAAUAUCAUAAUGCCACAGUAUAAAUCCAUGGUGCCUUGAAUAUUGCAUGCAAUUCUGGUCACCCUAGCUCAAAAAAGAUAAUUAGAAAUGGAAAAGGUCCAAACGACAAAUUUGAUUAGGGGUAUGAAACAGCUUUCAUAUGAAGAGAGAUUAAAAAGACAGACUGUACAGCUUGAAAAAGAGAAAUUCCUGGGGGAAUUCUGCGCACUGCGCAUGUACAGAAUUCAUGUUCCCUGCAGAUUUCUUUGCUUCCCCACAGAAAAAUGACUUCUGAUGGAGAAACAAAGGGAAAUCCACAAGAGCGGUCAUGUGCCCUUCCCUGGCAGCGCAGGCAGAUUGGUUCGGGCGCCUGGAGCAGCUGGUAGAAACGUAAAUCACCACUGGGAUGGGGUCGGGAGGCUGAGCAGUCAUGCAUGUAAGAGGGAGAGAGACACUCUGUCCCUCUUGCUUGCUAUUGCGGCACGUUCGGUGUGGAGAGGCAGGGCUCUAGGGUGUUUCUGAGGAGGUAGGCAUGAGGCAGAGCAGAAUGUAGCAGCUGGCCUGCUUAGUGAAUUGUUCCCAUUGUCUUUGUGAAUUCCCCCAGGAGUAUAAAACAGGUGUAAAAGUUUUAAGGCUCCUUUACAUUGCCAGAGUGGUGUAAAGGACAGUAUGGCCUUAUAAAUUCUUAAGGUGCUUUAGUGACUAGAACUGGUCUAAAUUUUUUGGAUUGAAAAAAAAAUUCCUAUCAAAAUGUGCUCCAUUGCCUGUUUGGUACUUACCUUCUUGGAAAUGGUCAGUAACCAAUAUAAAUUGUGAAUUUGAGUCCCCAGCCCUCACUUGCUCUUCAGUUGCCUAUGAUGUAACACUGACCAUAUGGCUGCAUAUAUUUGUUGACUAAUAACUAGAAAUAAAGGGUCAAACCUAGCUACAUUAUUAUUUGACAAAGGGGGUUUGGGGAUUUCUUCCAGUGUUCUGCACUCCCAUUCUCCAUCCAUUGUAUUGUAGUUUAAAUAAAUUACCAAAAUAAUUGAAA